AGGUCUUGGCCGGGAUCGAACCGACGACCUUCUGCGUGUAAAGCAGACGUGAUAACCACUACACCACAAGACC